rnacentral:misc_RNA from 1 species
AAAUCUUAGUUAAAUUUUAGAAAACUAGAAAACUAUUUUUUUAGUUCUUCAUUUGAAAAACUGGCAUAUGUGGAUAUGAAACUCUUUUUUCCUGUUUUCUUAGAAAAUUUUUCCAAAAACUGUUUUGCACAAGUGAACAGACCCUUAGCUCUUGCAGGAGAAAAAACAAAUUGAUUGAUUAUGGCAACUUGUGUUUCACAAGGAUAAGGUGUCAAAUGCCUUUUGUCCUUUAAUGCUUGCUUCCAGAUUGGUUGUUCCAUCUUCUUUUGGACCAUGAAGUUGGUCCUUGUGAUUAUCUUACUUACAGGCACUCUGCAUGCUGUGUGUGUUUGUGUGAGUUUUUUUUAGAGAGGGAGAGAGAAUUGCUGUUAAUUGUUCUCAAGGU